CGCGAAGAACCUUACCUGGGCUUGACAUCACCGAAAUCACCUUUAUACGGUGAGUGCCUCGAUUUAUCGAGGAAUCGUGUGACAGGUGCUGCAUGGCUGUCGUCAGUUCGUGUCGUGAGAUGUUGGGUUAAGUCCCGCAACGAACGCAACCCCUGUCUUUAGUUACCAGCAUUAAGUUGGGGACUCUAGAGAGACUGCCAAGGUGACAACUUGGAGGAAGGUGGGGACGACGUCAAGUCAUCAUGGUCCUUACGUCCAGGGCUAGAAACGUACUACACUGGUUGGCACAGAGGGCAGCAACACAGCGAUGUGAAGCAAAUCCUUAAAACCAACCUCAGUUCGGAUUGGAGUCUGCAACUCGACUCCAUGAAGUUGGAAUCGCUAGUAAUCGCGGAUCAGCAAUGCCGCGGUGAAUACGUUCCCGGGUCUUGUACACACCGCCCGUCAAG
rnacentral:rRNA from 1 species